UUUAUUGGAGAGUUUGAUCCUGGCUCAGGAUGAACGCUGGCGGCGUGCCUAAUACAUGCAAGUCGAGCGAAUGGAUUAAGAGCUUG
rnacentral:rRNA from 2 species